UAGACAACUAAUCCCAAUAGUCUACUAACAACAACCUAGCAAUGCUAACCAGCAAUCUAACAAUUCUAUCCAAGCAACGUAGCAAUUCUAGAUUCCGCUAUCUCAAUCCUAAUUCCUAAAACCACAAAUCCUAUCGCUGGACGUGACCGGUUUCCCUAAUGCCUUUUGUGACUCAUUUUAACUCGAGAAAAUAUUCGAAAACCGAUUAAAUCAUGAGUUCCGGAAGCAUGGACAAAACCAUGCUCUGAUACCACCUAUGUAACACCUCCGAACCUUCCUAGACAUAUGGUCGACCAACCGGCCAACAAUCAAACAAGAACAUGACCGAUCGACCGUCCAACACCCAUGGUUAGAGAUGAAUGAGCCAACCGGCCAGCCAACAAUCAAACAAGAACAUGACUGACCGUCCAACCCAGCACCCAUGGUCCGGAAGCGCUAAGUGAUGGGUUAGGGACGAUCCGGUCAUAGUCACAAAAUUUACUCCACGACCUAGACCAGUUCAUCCACUAACUCGUCCCGCUGCGUCAAGGUACAAGACUUUGCAACCCGUACCUAGAGUUAGCGUUUUCCGUUAGAUCGAGGCCUAAGGCUUUUCAACCCGUACUACGACCUAACGUUGUGUUAGACCGGACUAGUUAAAUAUCAGAGUACUCAUGAAGCGCAUAUAAAACAAUUUCUUUAUUGAUUCGAGAAAUAUCCAUACAUUGAUAUAAUUCGAGACCGGUCCCGGCUUAAUGCCAAAUCGAGUCAACUAAACACAAAUCCACAAUACCGUUAACAAAAGGCAUUAAAAUCUACACUGGCGGUCCUAACGUCCAGCACCCAGCUAUCCGAUCAUCCUUACCUAAAGCGACCUGCAAAAAAGACAAUGGAGUUGGAUGAGUAACCUAAUGUUACUCAGUGAAUUAUGAUCCCCAACUAACAAAUACAACCUCUCGCUAUCCCACCCCAAACAAUCUAAAGCGAGAGGUUCACCUAACAACAAAUCAAUCAAAUUCAAUAGAUAAGCAAUAUCAAAAAUAUGCAGAUAAUAAUAGCAAGAUAAUUAACAAUAUGAAAUCAUAACCGCUAAUGACUUGCUAACCACUUAAACUCAAACUCAAAUCAAUCUAGGGUUCAACAACCCUCUACACCCUCUACACUAUAACUAGGGCCCU
rnacentral:lncRNA from 1 species